rnacentral:lncRNA from 1 species
ACUUAUUUACCUUGUAUAAACCAACCCAAUAGACUCCGAUUUAAGGCUCGGAUCAAUUAUUCCCAAAUUUUGAAUCCUCCAAAAUUUUUACACAACACGACAAACAAGAAUCAAGAAAAAUGACAAUACAAAUCAAGUUUAGCUCCUUAAUGAGCACAAUAAAACUUUAAAUAUACUUUCUCAAUAUAGGAGAAGCCUUUGAGAACACCCUC